rnacentral:misc_RNA from 1 species
UGGUGACAAGGUGGAGGAUCCGCCAAUACUACAUUUGAUGUGGGGUCAUGGAACCGGUAUUAGAUUAGCUUGUGAAGACAUCGGUGGCAUUCGAUAGUGACAGUGAACUGAAAAUCAUUCAUGAUUACUGUGAACAUACGGAUUAGUCGCUAAAAGACGGUCUUCAAAAUAUCAGGAUAUGGCUAAAAUUACACAUCGUCCUGAUCACCCAGACCAGACCAAACUUUAGAAGCGAUCCGGGAAGCGAUCACCAUCUUAAAACGUUUGGUACGUUCGCCAUUUGAAGACAAGCAGUACUAUCUCUCUUACCUGACACAGUCAAGUGAGUUUGUCAUAGUAGGCCUAUGCAUGGUAACGAAUCUAAUGGAUAUCGUCACAGACAUAGUCACCAACAUCGGUACCGAGCAAACUUUCACCGACGUUUACACCGACUGGUCUGCUAACGUUACUUAUUUGCCGACAAAGACCUUCAGGACUUCGACUGGAGAAGUAACAAGCAACGAUGAUAAUCACCGAGACAGUGUCGGGUGGGUAUUUGACCCUCCUGCAAUUUCAGCUUUUAUCUUCUUCCAGGUGAUUGCUGCCAUCCUGGGAGUCGUAGGAAACACAUGUGUCUUAUUAGUGACGAGCAGAUGGAAAGCGAAAAUGAAGUCAACAACGGAUGCCUUGGUGCGUGCUCUGGCAGUUGCCGACCUCUUGACAUCCAUUCUGAUUGUACCUCACCCUUACGCCAGCUCCGUACCUAACACGAUUCUUGGCGAAUUCUACUGCAAGGUUGUCACAUCUCACAUCUUCAUGUGGACAUCUGUCGUCGCCUCGAUACUCACGUUGACUGCGAUUUCGAUCGAAAGAUACUUGGCGAUAUCACACCCUUUCUUUCACAGACGAUCGGUGACGAACAAACGAAUAAGAGGGUUGAUAGUGACCGUAUGGAUCCUGGCUUUUCUCCUCAAUGUCAACCCACUUUUUGUGGAGUAUGUCGAUAAAGUAUCGCACCAUUGCGUCUUUAGAUACCACCGUCGGGACUUGGCGGGAAAGAUGUUUUAUGGCGUGACCGUUUUCAUGAUCGAAUUCAUAACACCGUCUACCAUUAUGGUGAUCACGCACGUCCUUGCCUCGCGCACACUCAACCGCGAACUUCUGCGUUUCGAGAAAAAGACCAGCCAAUCAGAAACUUUUGGGCUAUCUAAGAAGUUGGUCGUGGCAAAGAAAAGAAACAUGAAAUCGCUUUUGAUAAUCUUUAUGACAUUUCUUGUUUGCUGGGCUCCUGAACAGAUAUUCGUGUUGCUUUUCAAUUUAGGAAUAAUUGACCAUUCUCAUCUCGAAAGCCAGGCAUAUUCGUACACCGUGCUACUAGCUUUCGUUAAUUCUUGUGCUAAUCCUAUAAUCUAUACCACACGAUAUCCGAAGUUUAGAACUGCCAUUGCUUCAAUGUUGGCAUGCUGCAGUGGUAAGCAUGGCAAGGGAAAGGACAACAUUCCCCCUGCCAUGCCUGCUACUAUAUUCUCUCCUGACAUGACUGAAAAUAAAAGGAAAGACAGCGAUAACGUUUAAAAAUAAAACAUUUCUUGACCAUAUUUGUCGAUUUCAACAAGUGUGUCGACUGGAGUGCCGACUACUAUACUUUAAAGCAGCAUGACAAUUGGCCCGUUUCAUUUUUAUUCUUCAAUUAUUGCAACCUUGCCGUUAUGGUUACUACCAGGGAAAACUUAAUUUUUAAUUUGUUGCAACCCUCUUAUCAUCAUGAUAGGUAAUAGAAUGCCAAAGUUGUAUACCGCAAAUCGUAACAAGUCUUUUAUUUCAAACGGGCCUCUGAGGGUUGACGGGAUUGGAGAAUAUGACUUUUCUCAGGCCUACGUUCGAAAGACUUUUGUUUGAGGAUUGUCGCCAUGCACGAAGGCCAGGGUGGCUCCAGAGAUAGCUGAGUGGAACUAGACACCCCACCUCCACCCCGCCUACCAUUUUGUAUUUUGCUUGUUAAUUCCUUAUGGCCCUUGGUUAUUAACUGGGCCCCGUCUUACAAAGAGUUACAAUUGAUCCAAUCGCUCACAACUAUUGGAAGCCAGCAACGUCAAC